CUUGGCGACCAUAGCGUUGUGGACCCACCUGAUCCCAUGCCGAACUCAGAAGUGAAACGCAACAGCGCCGAUGGUAGUGUGGGGCUUCCCCAUGUGAGAGUAGGACAUCGCCAGGC
rnacentral:rRNA from 1 species